UACGUAGGGAGCAAGCGUUGUCCGGAAUCAUUGGGCGUAAAGCGCGCGUAGGCGGCCCUGUAAGUCCGUUGUGAAAGUCAAAGGCUCAACCUUUGAAAGCCGAUGGAUACUGCAGGGCUGGAGUCCGGAAGAGGCGAGUGGAAUUCCUGGUGUAGCGGUGGAAUGCGCAGAUAUCAGGAGGAACACCAAUAGCGAAGGCAGCUCGCUGGGACGUUACUGACACUGAGGCGCGAAAGCGUGGGGAGCGAACAGG
rnacentral:rRNA from 1 species